rnacentral:rRNA from 1 species
GAACGCUAGCGGCAGGCUUAACACAUGCAAGUCGAGGGGGUAUAGGGAGCUUGCUUCCUAGAGACCGGCGCACGGGUGCGUAACGCGUAUGCAAUCUACCUUUUGCAGAGGGAUAGCCCAGAGAAAUUUGGAUUAAUACCUCAUAGUAUAGCAGUUUCGCAUGAAACCACUAUUAAAGUCACAACGGCAAAAGAUGAGUAUGCGUCCCAUUAGCUAGAUGGUAAGGUAACGGCUUACCAUGGCUACGAUGGGUAGGGGUCCUGAGAGGGAGAUCCCCCACACUGGUACUGAGACACGGACCAGACUCCUACGGGAGGCAGCAGUGAGGAAUAUUGGACAAUGGGCGCAAGCCUGAUCCAGCCAUGCCGCGUGCAGGAAGAAGGUCCUAUGGAUUGUAAACUGCUUUUAUACAGGAAGAAACACUCCCUCGUGAGGGAACUUGACGGUACUGUAUGAAUAAGGACCGGCUAACUCCGUG